UAGUCAAGUAGGAUAGUUUAGUACGGGAGUUAGAGACUAGUGAGCUUUGCUCGGGUUUUUGGAUUUGGUCUUCUAGAGAGUUUGGUAUAACUCUUGUAUCUUUCUCUUUUUAGUAAGACUUUACUUUAUUUAAUAUAUAUUAUUACUUUACUUAGUCUUUACUUUGUGCAACAUUAUACUUGUUUUAUUGUUGUUGUGGUAUAUCUUAGCUAGCAUAUAGUUCUUGCAUAUUAUAUUGUGAUCUAGAACCCAUACUUGUAUAUUGAUCAUCACAUUUAAUUAGGUGUUGUAAUUGAUCUAUAUGAACACAACUAGAGUAGUAAGAGAUAGUGUAAACAUGGUGUUUAUACUUGAUUUUGCAUGUGGUUGCUGCUUGUCGCUCAGAAUGUUGGUAGUAGUUAGUAGGUGGUGAUAGCCCUAUCUAGCCUUUGUACUCCGACAUAUGUUGUAGGCAAGUUAUUAAAAUAGUAAAGCCCACGUAAUAAGGUAGACACUUCAAUUAAGAGUUUUGUCCUCUUAUUGUCUCGCCUACUACCUCAUGUACCCAUUGUGCUCCCUCAAUCUGUUUGUUGCAUGCAUUUGUAUGAUUAAGAUAGACCAUAGAGAUAGAGUUAGAAUAAUAGGAACCUUUACUCUCUUGUUAUCCUCCCAACUGGCUAUACUUUACUUGUUAUCUUUUGAGCUACCUUUAUCUUAGCUUCUUUCAUCAAUUCCUUCCUAUCAUAUUUCGAUUUAGUUCUCUACACUAUUAAGUUGUGAUAAAUACAAAGACUUCUCAUUUAUUAUCAUUCCUAGCAACUGUUUUCCCUUGGAGGUUAAAUAAAUAAUGAUACCUUAGAAUACUCCGUGGAUGAAGUGCUACAAUGGUAUUUUGUGUACUAUGAAAUCCUCUACUUUUUUUUCUCUACUUGAGUUGAGUAUAAGAAAUACUAACAGAUCUGAAAUAGGUGUACCAUCAGAAUGAAGUUGCAAGUGAAGAUCCAUAGGCUUCACUUCACUUGGUGCAAACUCCGUGUCUAGUGGAGAGCGAGUGCAAAAUUACGUGUUAGAAUGACAGCAAAUGGGAAAAAUUAAGAGUUGAUAAAAGAGUUAUAAACAAUAUGUACACGUAUAAAAAGGACUAUUUUCGUGAGCACGGAUGCUCUCUUUGCCUCUACAGGAAUUGUCAUUAGUGGCUGCUAAUGAUGAUAAUUGCUUCCCUAGUUAAUGAUUAAAACAAUUCUCAACAAUUCCAUAGGAAUUCCGGCGGUCCAAUAUCCUAGAGGGAUCAAAAGAAUGUCCUGGGCCAGUCUCAAUGCAUAGUUUCAUAACACAGUUACCAAGAUUAUAAACUAGUUAACCGAGCCAUAUGUGUUUCAGGGCACUUCCAAUGCAAGACUCUAUCAUGGAGUCCAAGACAAUUAAUUACAUAGUAUUUAUGGUAUUUUGCUGAUGUGGCACCAUAUUUAUUGAAGAAAGAGGUAGAAAAAAUAAGACUCCAAGUCUUAUUUAGACUCCAAGUCCACAUUGUUCGAGGUAAUAAAUGACUUUAGACUCCAUAAUAGAGUCUGCAUUGUGAGUGCCCUCAUGGGGAUGAAACUCCUCUCUCAUCUGAUGAAACUCCUUCAUUUAAUGACCCUGCC
rnacentral:lncRNA from 1 species